CCUACGGGGGGCAGCAGUGAGGAAUAUUGGUCAAUGGCCGGGAGGCUGAACCAGUCAAGUCGCGUGAGGGAAGACGGCCCUACGGGUUGUAAACCUCUUUUGUCAGGGAGCAAGGGGCAGGGCGGGACCGGCGGUGAGAGUACCUGAAGAAAAAGCAUCGGCGAACUCCGUGCCAGCAGCCGCGGUAAUACGGAGGAUGCGAGCGUUAUCCGGAUUUAUGGGGGUGAAAGGGUGCGCAGGCGGAGGCACAAGUCAGCGGUAAAAUCGCGGGGCUCAACCCCGCUCCGCCGUUGAAACUGUGUCCCUUGCGUGCGCGAUGGGUAGGCGGAAUGCGUGGUGUCGCGGU
rnacentral:rRNA from 1 species